GUGUGAAGAAGAGGAGGCGAGAACGACCCCCCGACCGACCAAAGCUCGCGCGUCGCUGCAUCCCCGCGUACAGCGCCUACGUCCCGCCGCCUUUGCCACCAUGCCCAAGAGAAAGGCUGAAGGGGAUGCUAAAGGAGAUAAAGCCAAGGCAAAGGACGAACCACAGAGAAGAUCCGCAAGGUUGUCUGCUAAACCUGCUCCUCCAAAGCCAGAGCCCAAGCCUAAAAAGGCCCCUGCAAAGAAGGGAGAGAAGGUACCCAAAGGGAAAAAGGGAAAAGCUGACGCUGGCAAGGAGGGGAAUAAUCCUGCAGAAAAUGGAGAUGCCUAAACAGACCAGGCACAGAAAGCUGCAGGUGCUGGAGAUGCCAAGUGAAGUGUGUGCA